AUGCAGCUAACCCAAUUACCAAUUGUUCUGGAUGUGCGAAGCGCCGUGCGAAUGCUAAGUCAUAAUGUUAUGGCUUCAUCUGAAAGAUGUGCAUAUCACCCAGGAGCAUCAGCUAUCAAAUGGGCAGUGUUAAAGGAAGGUUAUAAACUGGGGAAGCGAAGAGGUAAAUGUGCCAACACAAGGAAAGAAAUCAAGAUCUAUUUAGCUUUCCCCACCGGCCCUGUCAAUCGUUCCGAGGAAGACAGUUCCUGCCACACAGCUCGGGAAAUAGGCCCCAGAGGGCCAAGAAACAGUUCCAUCCCCUCUUCUCAAAAUCAAGGGAGAGAUGUGGGUUCUGGUUACAGCAUCUUUGAAAAGGGUACCACUUGGAAAUUUCAGGAACAGGCAGAAGUAUGGGGGAUCAAGAUCAAGAAAGUCGCCCGGCUAUCCCCGAGGCCAUUGAAGGUCAGCACAGUCGUGGCGUUCCCUGCACCGGCAGCCUACCUGACCCAUCAGCAGAAGGUGUUGAGGCUUUAAAAGCGGGCGCUGCACCACCUCCAGUUGUGGUGCAUCCAAAGUGACAAAUACCAAUACUUUGCUUAUCUGAUGAGAGCCUGGUUUGAAGAACGUAAGAAUGAAAAAGAUAUGAUGAAGGCCACCCAGCUGCUGAAGGAGGCUGAGGAAGAAUUCUGGUACUGUCAGCAUCCACAGCCAUACAUCUUCCCUGACUCUCCUAGGGGUGCCUCUUAUGUGACAUAUGAGUGCUACAAGGUACCAGAAUGGUGCUUAGAAGACUGGCAUCCUUCUGAGAAGGCAGUGUAUCCUGAUUACUUUGCCAAGAGAAAAUGGUGGAAGAAACUGCGGAGGGAAAGCUGGAAAUGAGAGGUUAAGCAGCUGCAGAAGCAAAUGCCACCUGCCCAAAAGGAAGGUGAUUUGCCCCCACUGUGGUGGCAUAUUGUGACCAGACCCCGGGAGCAGCCCAUGUAGAGAGAGAGAGAGAGAGACCUCAUCUUUCAUGCUUACGCGUGAAAUACAUUACAGAACAUACACUUGCUCUAAUAAAAAAUCUGUGAAAUGG